rnacentral:rRNA from 1 species
GGGAGCCCUAGCACAGGUGCUGCAUGGCCGUCGUCAGCUCGUGCCGUGAGGUGUUCGGGUUAAGUCCCGCAACGAGCGCAACCCCCGCCGUUAGUUGCCAGCGGUUCGGCCGGGCACUCUAACGGGACUGCCCGCGAAAAGCGGGAGGAAGAGGGGACGACGUCUGGUCAGCAUGGCCCUUACGGCCUGGGCGACACACGUGCUACAAUGCCCACUACAAAGCGAUGCCACCCGGCAACGGGGAGCUAAUCGCAAAAAGGUGGGCCCAGUUCGGAUUGGGGUCUGCAACCCGACCCCAUGAAGCCGGAAUCGCUAGUAAUCGCGGAUCAGCCAUGCCGCGGUGAAUACGUUCCCGGGCCUU